UACGGAGGGUGCGAGCGUUGUCCGGAAUCACUGGGCGUAAAGGGCGCGUAGGCGGCAUGCCAAGCGUGUGGUGAAAGCCCGGGGCUCAACCCCGGGUCGGCCGUGCGGACUGGCGUGCUCGAGCACUGUAGGGGCGGGUGGAAUUCCGGGUGUAGCGGUGGAAUGCGUAGAGAUCCGGAAGAACACCGAUGGCGAAGGCAGGUCUCUGGGCUGACACUGACGCUCAUGCACGAAAGCGUGGGGAGCAAACAGG
rnacentral:rRNA from 1 species